rnacentral:hammerhead_ribozyme from 1 species
GCACUGCUGAGGAGUCCAAUACUAGGACGAAAUGACCAUCCAAUGC